rnacentral:rRNA from 1 species
AGUGAACGCUGGCGGUAGGCCUAACACAUGCAAGUCGAACGGCAGCACAGUAAGAGCUUGCUCUUACGGGUGGCGAGUGGCGGACGGGUGAGGAAUACAUCGGAAUCUACUUUUUCGUGGGGGAUAACGUAGGGAAACUUACGCUAAUACCGCAUACGACCUACGGGUGAAAGCAGGGGAUAUUCGGACCUUGCGCGAUUGAAUGAGCCGAUGUCGGAUUAGCUAGUUGGCGGGGUAAAGGCCCACCAAGGCGACGAUCCGUAGCUGGUCUGAGAGGAUGAUCAGCCACACUGGAACUGAGACACGGUCCAGACUCCUACGGGAGGCAGCAGUGGGGAAUAUUGGACAAUGGGCGCAAGCCUGAUCCAGCCAUACCGCGUGGGUGAAGAAGGCCUUCGGGUCGUAAAGCCCUUUUGUUAGGAAAGAAAAGCAGCAGGUUAAUACCCCGCUGUUCUGACGGUACCCAAAGAAUAAGCACCGGCUAACUUCGUG